rnacentral:rRNA from 1 species
CAGCAGUAGGGAAUCUUCCGCAAUGGACGAAAGUCUGACGGAGCAACGCCGCGUGAGUGAUGAAGGUUUUCGGAUCGUAAAACUCUGUUGUUAGGGAAGAACAAGUGCGAGAGUAACUGCUCGCACCUUGACGGUACCUAACCAGAAAGCCACGGCUAACUACGUGCCANCAGCCGCGGUAAUACGUAGGUGGCAAGCGUUGUCCGGAAUUAUUGGGCGUAAAGCGCGCGCAGGCGGUUUCUUAAGUCUGAUGUGAAAGCCCCCGGCUCAACCGGGGAGGGUCAUUGGAAACUGGGAAACUUGAGUGCAGAAGAGGAGAGUGGAAUUCCACGUGUANCGGUGAAAUGCGUANAGAUGUGGAGGAACACCANUGGCGAANGCGACUCUCUGGUCUGUAACUGACGCUGAGGCGCGAAAGCGUGGGGAGCGAACAGGAUU